GAAGACUCUUAGCUGUACACUUUGAAUGAUUCCCUGCUCACCUGCUGCACUCUGUCAACAAGCAAGGAAAAUUUUAGGGCAGAAGCCUGGGAUGCAGCCAGGUUCAGAAACCUCUCGCUGGGCCUUGUGGUGAAUCCAUGCUCACACAUGGGCUGCCUGCCAAACAUUAACUAAAAUACUCACGCUUGUUUUCGACAACGGUCCUCAGGUUAAAUUUCACCAAGUGCUAUUUUGGGUGAGACGCUAUGGUAGAAAUGUCUCCAGAUUCCGGGUGGCUGUAAUGCCUCUGCAAAGCCACCUUUCAGCAUGUCCCAUUUGCUGUGCUUUCAAGUACUCAACUGUGUUGGUGCCUUUACAAGAUUCAGCCCCAAAGGAAUUUGGAGGACCUCUCAGUCAUUUAGAAUAUUGUUCCAAAUUAGAAACUGUUAAAUACUUUUUUUGAAUUUUAUAAAGAAGUUUGGAGAAAAACAACCCACACUUACAUGAAAGAGCAAAAACCCGGUGGAGCUCAACAGAUAAUUUUUUUUAAAGCAAAAGGGGAGUCAACUGAAGCGAUGUCUAUAACUAGCCUGAAAUAGAUAAUUCCUUCAGCACUGCAUAUAAUUUAUGAAAGUUUUAAAUAAGUCCAAGUUGGUACAUUUAAACGUGGAUACUAGAAACACAGGAUUCAGAUGAUACUGGCAUAAAAGACAGCAAGAAUUAUCUUCUACAAGCAUUGACAAGAAAGAGAAAGAAAUGUUCGCAAAUAUCACUGAGGAUUUUUUUUAAUGGAGAAGAAAAUGGCAUUAAUAAAGCAGAGACACUGAUGAAGAAGAGACAGUGGAUGAUACUUUAAUCUAAUUUGAUAUUAGUGAUGAUCAAUGCCGUUUCCAGAGGGCAGGAGUUAAUUUGAUUAAGAGAGGAAGAGAACCUUUCCAGAAUACAUAUGGACUCUUCUCUGCAGUUCAAAGACAAGGAAAAAAGAGCAAAGGAAGCACCCCACACAUGAAGGCUUCAUGAUUUUAGAAAUCCUUACCAAACAGUGAGAACACGGCAGUAUUUUCAAGGUUGAAAUAAUUAUUUUGUUUUGGCUAUAGACUAUAGAUACUGGAACAGAAAAUGAACAUUCAACUUUAUAAAUGGCUCUAAACCUAAAAGUUAAAUCCUAAGGUCUGUGAGACAUCUCAACAAUAUCUCCCCUGCUUUUCUAACCAUUGUUAUUUUAUUUCAUGACCGUUACUGAAAAUAAUUUUGCCAUAUAAAGGAGAGAGUGUUAAAAAGGAUUUUCUCCAGGUGUCAAAUAUGCGAGGUAUACCAUUAUUAGAUAAAAUAAUAACAUCAAUAACUUUUCUGACGUGAUCAUUUUUAUGAUAGAGAAAUAUCUGACUUAUGUAAAUAACUAUCUAAUAACUAAGUGAAUUUUAAUACAACAAAAAUGUCUUCAAAGGGAUAAAUUUAUACUAUGACUAAACUGUAUGACUGAAGUAAUUUUAUUCCUCUCCAUUUGUUCUUUAACCUAAAAAUAAAUAUCUAACAGUGUAAAAAGGAAUACAUUUCAAUUUUUAAAUAUUUUACUUAUCUUUAGUUUCUGAUUUCCACAUCC
ensembl:lncRNA